GUCAGACCUACUUGGCCUUCACUUUGCCGCCUCCAAAUCACCAAAGGGGGACUGGGAUGUCCUGGAUUCAGGGGACCCUCUGCUCUGGGGGGGGAGGCAGAUCGAAUCCCACAUUUUCGUAGAAGAAAAACCUCUGCGGACUGUAGAAAAUAGUAGAAAAAAACUGCAAGAAUCUCAUCUGCUUUCCAGAUUAUUCUCCAUAAAGCUCCCUCCCCAAUCCCCAUGCCUGUAACUAAAUAAUCCGCCUGAAACGCAGCAAAACUGGUGCAGAAAGUGUAAAAAGAUGGAAUUCAGUGAGUAAUUGUGACUUUGGCAUCAAUUUGUCUGUACAAAGCUUUCAGCUUCCCCCUUGGAUUACACAGAGAAUUCAAGAAUCCGAAUAAUAAAGGAGAAAGUUUA